rnacentral:rRNA from 1 species
AUUGAACGCUGGCGGCAGGCCUAACACAUGCAAGUCGAACGGUAACAGGAAGCAGCUUGCUGCUUUGCUGACGAGUGGCGGACGGGUGAGUAAUGUCUGGGAAACUGCCUGAUGGAGGGGGAUAACUACUGGAAACGGUAGCUAAUACCGCUUAACGUCGCAAGACCAAAGAGGGGGACCUUAGGGCCUCUUGCCAUCGGAUGUGCCCAGAUGGGAUUAGCUAGUAGGUGGGGUAACGGCUCACCUAGGCGACGAUCCCUAGCUGGUCUGAGAGGAUGACCAGCCACACUGGAACUGAGACACGGUCCAGACUCCUACGGGAGGCAGCAGUGGGGAAUAUUGCACAAUGGGCGCAAGCCUGAUGCAGCCAUGCCGCGUGUAUGAAGAAGGCCUUCGGGUUGUAAAGUACUUUCAGCGGGGAGGAAGGGAGUAAAGUUAAUACCUUUGCUUAUUGACGUUACCCGCAGAAGAAGCACCGGCUAACUCCGUG